GAUGAAGAACGUAGCGGAAUGCGAUAAGUAAUGUGAAUUGCAGAAUUCAGUGAAUCAUCGAAUCUUUGAACGCACAUUGCGCCCGCCAGCAUUCUGGCGGGCAUGCCUGUUCGAGCGUCAUUUCAACCCUCGAGCCCCCCCGGGGGCCUCGGUGUUGGGGGACGGCACACCAGCCGCCCCCGAAAUGCAGUGGCGACCCCGCCGCAGCCUCCCCUGCGUAGUAGCACACACCUCGCACCGGAGCGCGGAGGCGGUCACGCCGUAAAACGCCCAACUUUCUUAGAGUUGACCUCGGAUCAGGUAGGAAUACCCGCUGAACUUAAGCAUAUCAAUAAGCGGAGGA
rnacentral:misc_RNA from 1 species